rnacentral:tRNA from 2 species
GGGUCAGAAGCACAGAGGUUGUGCGAUCGGCUGUUAACCGAUUGGUCGAAGGUUCGAUCCUUCCUGUCCCGCCA